rnacentral:piRNA from 1 species
UACCAUUGCAUGACUCCCUCAGGACAAGGUC